AUUGAACACUGGCGGCAUGCUUUACACAUGCAAGUCGAACGGCAGCGCGGGCUUCGGCCUGGCGGCGAGUGGCGAACGGGUGAGUAAUGCAUCGGAACGUGCCCAGUAGUGGGGGAUAGCCCGGCGAAAGCAGGAUUAAUACCGCAUACGACCUGAGGGUGAAAGCGGGGGACCGAAAGGCCUCGCGCUAUUGGAGCGGCCGAUGUCGGAUUAGCUAGUUGGUGGGGUAAAGGCUUACCAAGGCGACGAUCCGUAGCUGGUCUGAGAGGACGACCAGCCACACUGGGACUGAGACACGGCCCAGACUCCUACGGGAGGCAGCAGUGGGGAAUUUUGGACAAUGGGGGCAACCCUGAUCCAGCCAUGCCGCGUGCGGGAAGAAGGCCUUCGGGUUGUAAACCGCUUUUGUUCGGGAAGAAAUCCUCUGGGCUAAUACCCCGGGGGGAUGACGGUACCGGAAGAAUAAGCACCGGCUAACUACGUG
rnacentral:rRNA from 1 species